CAGUCGCCGCGGUAAUACGUAGGGCGCAAGCGUUGUCCGGAAUUAUUGGGCGUAAAGAGCUCGUAGGCGGUCUGUCGCGUCUGGUGUGAAAUCCCGAGGCUCAACCUCGGGCUUGCAUCGGGUACGGGCAGACUAGAGUGCGGUAGGGGAGACUGGAAUUCCUGGUGUAGCGGUGGAAUGCGCAGAUAUCAGGAGGAACACCGAUGGCGAAGGCAGGUCUCUGGGCCGCAACUGACGCUGAGGAGCGAAAGCAUGGGGAGCGAACAGGAUUAGAUACCCCCGUAGUCCCUGUCUCUUAUAC
rnacentral:rRNA from 1 species